CUCAGAUGGAGUGAUGAGCUACCCAGUCCCAACUUCCCAGGCACCCUUGAACAAGGGGCCAGGGGUACAUGGCAGCCUUGUCUCUAUCAACCUGUGAAGUUGCUUAUGGUGUUAAAAUGUUGCCAGAGAUCAAGGAUGUCCAGACAAACACCAGCUAAAUCUAAAAAGAAGUCAGAAAACUAAUACAAGCUUAAAAUACCAAUUUCAGCACAGAUAUGCUUAUCUUUUAGACUUACUUUAUUUACCCACCUCACAUGACAUGGGGAAGAAUUCCUGAAGAACGUUUUCCCACUGAUUGUUUAAAAUCCUUCCUCUCAAUAAAGUCCUUUCUAAGUACACAUGGUUCCGUUUCAUUCUCUGGCUCAUCCUCUUAAUCACCUGCCUUUAGCGUCUCUAAUUUACUUAUUUGACAGUAUUUAUUGAGCAUCUGCUAUGGGCCAGGCACCAGGUUAAGAUGGCAGGAAGCCGAAUGAGACACGGUCCUGACCUGCGAGGGCUCGUGGUUGAGUCACGAAAAACUACACUGAAAGAAUGGCAAAUAGCGAGAUGUGUGCCAGGAAAAGACACGUGGCAAGUAAACUCACUCCUGGAGGAAAUCAAGAAAGAGAAUGGUUGGGUUUUCUCAAUAAUCCAUAGACUAUCAGGGCCAGAAGAGACUUUACAGAUUAUCUGUUCUAACCCCCUCAUUUUAUAAAUGGAAAACAGAGAGGGGAAGAGCCACACAGUUUUAAAGCUGGGGCCAACGCGUAAUGAAUUCUUUCUCUUUUCCUGGCUGAUAAUUUGUUGUGUGUCUCUCAAAUUGUCUCUUGAGGUAGGUAAAAUAGAAAUCAUCAGUAUACCACUGAAAGAAAUCUAUUUUGUUUUCUGACUAAAAAUCUACAAGAUAUACCUCAUCAACAUUUGUUUGAAAAUGUGACUAUUCUUUGAAGAUUACUAUCAUCGAUUCACAUUCAGUGCCUUGCCUGGGUAUUUUUAAGUUGUUCCUUAUUCCAGCAUUCCUACCACUAGUCUCAGCUAUCACAGUCCUUUAUAGAAAACGUCAUCAUGAUUCUUGUUGUUUCUCUACAUUUACAUAGCACCUCGGAGUUUAAGAAGCAUUUUCAGAUCCAUUGCUUCCACUGGGGGAGUCAAGUUGUUGGCUUGAUAGCUUUAGAGGGACAUGACAAGUAGAAGGAGGUUUGGAAAGGAGCAAAGCACGUGGUGACAGUGCUGGGGAACAAGACCUACAAAGCCGGGUGACAGGAGUAGGACGCCUGGGACUGCUCUUGUGGGGCCAGAUCACCAGGGGAGGGCUAGGGAAUGGAUUUCUAGUCCAUGAAGUCUAGUGAGCGGAAAGGAAACACAUCAAUAAACACAUCAAUAAACAUACUGAAUAAUGCCUGUGUGCAGGGCACCAUGCUAAGUGGAUUCAAAGAUGAGUGAUCAACGUACCCCCUUCAAAGAAUGUUUUGGAUUUCUGUUCAAUCUCCUUAAGCCACCGGGAGUGGAAGGCAUGAGUGAGCAGAAGCCACUGAGCAGAGAGAAGUGGAUGUACCAAGCUCCUGCUGUGUGGCCUCGGCUUCUCCAGGAGACGCUGGGGUCUCAGUGUCAGCUGGAGACUGAAAACUUCAGCCUGCAGGGAGAGAUGGGACAGAGGUGGCCCUGAGGGCCUCUGAGUCCUGGCUCCAGGUGUCCCAUUCGUCGGCCCUUCCUGUGCUUGGCUAUGCAAGCCAAUCCAUUCUCUGCGAUUGCUUGAAAUUUGUAAAAAAGAAAGAGAAUGAGGCUUUGUCAUCAUUGUGAGCUUGAGUAAAUCAUUUCUCACUUCUAGACCUCGGGUUUCUCACUUGUUAAGAGGGUGGGGGUGGGAGACUAAGCAAAUCCUCAGGUUCUUAAAAUUUGUUGAUUUAAUUGAUCUGGAAAAGGGAUUUUUUCCACCAUUUUGGUUUAGGAAUAUUUUAUGGGGCCCAGGAUGCAGAGGUUCCUUGAGUUCCUCAGUGAAGGACCGCAGUGACUUCAUGGUUGGGGUGGCAGUUAACCUGAGCAGCAAAGACUGCUGGGUAGAGCUAGGCGCUGCUUUUCAGAACCAAAGGCUUCACCUAUUUGAAACUUGUAUUAUGGAGGCAUGUUACAGAGGAAAGAGCACAAGACUUAGAAUAAUUGUCCUAGAUUUGAGUCUAGCCACUAAACUAACUCACUGAGAUUGUGGCCAGGGCACACCCCAAUUUGGGGACUCAGUUUACUUGUGGGUGAAGUGAAUAUGGGAGACAGACUCCCAGGAGGCUCCAUGGUCCAUGCUCCCUGGUGUACCCACCCUUGUGGGAUCCCUUCCCUCCAGUGUGGGUGGCACCUGUGACUUGUUUCUAACCAACAGAAUAUGGCGAUGGUGGUGGACGUCAGUGUCAUGAUAUUAAUAUAUUCCAGCGGACUUGAACACCCAUCUUACUAGCCGACUUUUGCUGUCAACUGUCUCCCUUGCUGGCUUUGAUGGAGUAAGCUGCCAUAGAGAGAGGUCCUGGAGAAGAACUGAGGGUGGCCUCUGGCUGAGGGCCCACAAGAAGCUGAGGCCCUCAGGCCAACAACCCUCAAGGAACUGAAUUCUGUCAACAACCACAUGAUUUUGGAAGCAGAACCUUCCCCGGUCAAGCUGCAGAUAAGAUCCCCAGCCCUGACUGACUCCCGGAUUAAAGCACCGUAAGAGAAUCUAAAACAGAGGAAUCAGCUAAACUGUGCCUGGACUCCUGACCCACAGGAACUGUGAAAUAAUAAAUGUGCUGUUUAAAAGUACGAAGUUUGUGGUAAUUUGUUAUGCAGCAGUAGAUAAGUAACACAACAAAGCAGUUAUAACCUUCUGUACCUGACAUCCUGUGAGCAUGACAAUACUCUUCUUAUGAUACCAGCAUUACACAUGUAACAGAAACCACUCCAUUAUGACAUACACAAACAUAUUGUAAGCUGCUGUUACUAUGCUGGGUUGAGAAUUAUUCAUCUUUCUAGAACUCCUAGGGUACUUGUUCUGUAUUUAGAUUCUCAUUUAAUCAGGACUCAUUUCCAGGCUUCUUCCUGCUGAUUGUAAAUACCAUGCUCACACACACAGGUCCACAUUCACACAUACAGAUCCACAUUCACACACACAGGUCCAUGUUCACAUACAGAUCCACAUUCACACACACACAGUUGCACACUCACACACAGGUCCACUCUCACACACAGGCCCACACUCACACAGGCCCACGUUCACACACACAGGUCCACAUUCACACACAAGAUCCACACUCACACACACAGGUCCUGCAUCUCGCUGAAUUUAAUUAAGGAUCAACCUGAAAUAAAAU
rnacentral:lncRNA from 10 species